rfam:Parcubacteria (Yanofskybacteria) bacterium GW2011_GWB1_45_11 TW90_C0005, whole genome shotgun sequence.
GCCGCGGUAGCUCAGUGGAUUAGAGCGCAUCCCUGAAGAGGAUGGCGUCGGGUGUUCGAUUCACCCCCGCGGCA